GAGGACUUCAGAUGUUGUGUAAUAUCUUCCAGACUUUUAUGAUUGAUUUAAAUGAAAUUGUAUUUGAAUGGAUAUUAUUUAGAGAUGGGGACAGCAGAUAUCCUGUGCUUGGUGUGGGGGCGCUUACUGCUUUUUUAAAUUAUUUUUUUAUUUUGAAAAAGGAGGCAAAUAGAUUGCAUGUCCAAGUAGAUUAGAGAUCAGCAGUCACUGACUGGAUGGUUUGUUGACCAAUACAAUGUGGUUUUGAUGUCAGAAAAGAAUGACUUCCUUGCAGCUCUGAUUUCUAAAUCAUAGUUUGAGUCUUUAUUUAUACUGUAGAUCUAAAAGAUUACCAGGAGGGUUUUUGACGCCUGCGUUCAGCUCUUUUUUUUUGUUAGGACUAAUUGUGGCCAUUCUCCAAGGAGAUCUUUGCAUACCUCAGACAUUCACUUUCCCAUUCCAAACUUUGGAAGUGAAGACAUCUACAAGCUCUUUGACUGAGACGCCAGGAAGGCCCGGUGUGGAGGAGAACCUCUGAGUUAACACUUUACUCAUUUUUUCAGAGAUGGAACACUUAGUCACAAGUUAGUGCAAGAAGAUCAUGUUAGUUAUCAAUUUAGUUUAAAUUGUAUUCAAAGCUUUAUUUUCCCAAUUUGUUUGGACAUGUUGUGGCUGACGUCGAAUGAAUGUUAAGUUUGAUACGUUUUUCAGAAUCACUAUUGUUUCUUGCCAAUCUUUAGGAAUGGAAUUCAGAAAACUUGCUGCAUACAGAAACUUGACUUUUUUUGGAGAUAAUCCUUGGUGUCAUUAGCCAAAUUAUUAUCAGGUAUAACGUUUGUCCACAUUGAAGCACUACACAAGGCACUAGCACGAUCAACAUUCUGAUAUUCUCUGUACAUAUUGUGGAAAUUACCCAUAUGAAUUUAAGUUAUUGUACUGAAGAGGGUUUGUUUAGGAACAGUGGCUAAAGCUUAUUUUUUUACUAAACAUACUCACACUGUAUAUACUUGUAUUUUGUUAAAUUCUUUCUUUAUAUUUGAUUCUUAGAUUUAAUUGAAUAUCUUCUGCUCUGUUUAUAAUUGUAUUGUGUAUAUUGUGGCAUCACCUGGAGCCAAGUGGAUGGGUGCUACUUCCCCUUUAAGCCAUCUUGUAAGAUGGCUGCUGCGGAGGUAACUACAGCUCCCAGAAGGCCUCAGGACUCACACAGGUGGAGGAUCACCUGGAGGAAGCAUACUGGAAGGACAAAGCAGAAGGGGUGUGUCCUGGAAGAGCUGCUGUUAUAUAAACAGGGAAAAAGAAGCACUUUCAGACACAUUUCUUUUGACAGGUUUGGAAACAAGUUUGAAUAUACUGGGGGAAGAGGGUUUGUCGAUCUUCUGCCCACUUCAGGACAACAUGGCACAGACUAAACUGGGGGCUAGAAGCCCUUUAAUGCAGGCAGCUGUGGGCUUUGCACUGGGAGCAGUGGGAGGCUGCAUACUCGGAGCCACGGAGGACCCAGUGGAAAAGACGUUGUUGGUGAUGACUGGAGCCGGUCCACUGAAACCAGUGAUGGAUGAAGUCAGGACGGUGGGCGCUCUGGGUCUCGGGACCCUGAUUGGAGCAUCGGCACUGACCACGGCCAUGACUGCAGCAGUUGCUGGUGUGAUUCUGGCAGCAGCGGUAGUUUCAGUGUUUGUGGGCACGCAGAGCUGUGGUGCUUCCCACAAAGACUCUGUGACCUUGUGGGCAUCAGCAGGACUAGCCGGGGCCUUUGGGACCACUCUCAGUGGGGCUACGCUAGGGGCCUCUAUCGAAUGGAUUGUGAACAAUUACAGCAUGGUGGGCCUUCUGUGGGCGCUGAGCAUAUUCACCGUGCUCAAACCGCCUCUGCACUUUGUAUUCAAGCUCCUGUGGAAACAGGGAGAGGCCUGCUGCACCCCACGAUCUAAAGACUGGGACAGUAAGAGGAAACAUACAGAGAUUCUAGAGUUAGAGCAGAGGCAGAAAGUGGCUCUGCAGAUAGAGCAGAGGAUCCUGACACUGGAGAAGGGAGGCAGCGGGACAGAGGACAUGACCACAUGGGUCACUGAGCGAAGGCAGAGACAGGAAAUGGAGAGGAGGAAAACAGAGAUUGAAGAGGCAGAGAUGGAGCAAAGAACCAUGCAAGACUGGAUCAACACAGCAGUGGUCAAAUAUGUUGACUUCUUAGCUUUCUCAGGGAUUCCAAUGACAGUAGUUGCCAUAGUAACAACAGGGUUUGGGGUGUUUGGCUAUGGGGGGCACCAGUCUGUGUUUAUAGUUCUUCUGGCUUUGGUUGCAGGGAUAACUUAUUUGCUUCUGAAAUCCCCUGACUUUAAAUUCUGGAUGUUAAUAGGGUGCAUGGGAAUGCUCGCAACUUUCGUCAUUGCCAUGCUCACCCUACAUGCCGGUCAAGUGGUCCUAACGACUGCCAUGAAGAUGCGAACAGCAGGGCAGAAUCACUCCAGACAAAACAUCAGCACUAGAAUGAACCGACAAUCCUCUCUGGAAGCUUUGAAUGCAGCUUUUUUUGCAGCAAAAUUAUGCGAGUUGGCUUUGGGGGCUGCAGUGGGGGGUCCACUGGUGAGGCGAGGAGCUGGAGAAGUGAAAGUUGUAGUUGGGGGAGCUUUGGUGGCGGGUGGUUUACUGUUUGGAUUGGAGUUUUUGGCCCCGGUGCUCGGAGAAGGGGGGAAAGCAGGGGCAUUGCUGGGGAUGGUGGGAGUAGCAGGGGUGUCUGUGGGUGCAGCAGUAGCUGUGGCUGGAAGGUGGUCUUCAUGGCCAGGAACGUUAGGGACAGCAGCGGGACUGGUUAUUGGAGCAUUAGUGACGGGGAAAUGGCAUAUUGUCAACAUUGGCCUGCAAGUGCCUGUGGCCUACGUCUUUGCAAUGACCAAUCCAUUUUAACACAGAUCCCAGAGGCCUCCCAGGAAAAAUGUUGUCAGUGCAUUAGUUGCCAGAGUGUUGAUGCUGAUUAAUCUUCUUACAAUCACAAAUCCCAUUUAUUGUCAUAUUAAUAUGUAUACACGCCUGAUAAAGCUUUAUUGUUGUAUAAAAAAUAGUAAAUCAUAUCAAUGAGCCCCACUGUAAAAGAAAAACACGAGAGCACUAAAUGUGGACUGAACUGAAAACAAGGACCAAGAAAUAGUUUUCUCCUGUUUGAGUAACAUCAUUAAAACAACUGGGGGGGGGGGGGGGUCUGUUGGUCCAUGGUAAGAGUUUUCUGGGUGUGUAAAAAUGCAAUUUAUAAAAUUAUUAUAAAUCGUUUUGUCAUUAGAAUUAUGUUAUGUAUGGGCUACACAAAUAUAAAAGGGUUCUUAAAGAUUUAUAUAUUGCAUGGUCUGCUGUAUAGGGGCAGAUUUUGAUAUAAAAAGUUUAAGAAAAUACAUUACAUUGUGUUUCUGUUGUCAAAUUGUAAUCAACAUUUCACCGUUUAUGUGAUUCUAUAAGAAUAAAUCCAUUAAAACUGCUCUACUGAUAAAAUGUAUUAUUAUUAUUAUUAUUAUUAUUAUCGAAAAGCAGUGUGUGACAGUUGGCCACACCGGUUUUUCAGGGUUUUUCAGAUGUAUGAACAUGCAGGUACCAGCGAAGAAAAACAAAACUGAACAAUACAAAGGAAUUUGAACUUUCAGUGUCCUGGUACAGUUUCUUUUAGAGAUAAAGGGUAUAUCUAUAUUAUUAGCCUCCAAACUGUUUGUACAACAAAAGACUACUUAUCUGCUUCUUCAUCCUGUUUCCCCUUUAGUCAUAUGACACAGAGCAGCCAGUCACAUGACCUCUGCUUAGCUUAACAGGAAGAGAUUGAUCCAGGAAGAACAAAGGGCGGUCAUGUGGUUGCACUAGCAGAACUGUUUAGAUGAGUCGUGUGCAAGCUGAAGUUUGAAGUCAACAGGAUCUCACAUCUCAGCUGCUUAGUGUUCUUUGUCUCUGGGAGCUGCUCUGGUAACGUGCUGUAAAGAGCCUCACUAAGUAAG